rnacentral:tRNA from 1 species
AUUUAUAUAAUUUAAGUAUUAAGAAUUUUGCGCUGAAGUUGCAAGAGUGAUGAUUAACAUCUAUAAGUG